AGAAAGUAUCUAGACUGAUCCUCUCAUUUUACAAAGGGUGGCAAUGAGGUGGCCCAGGGAUGGGCAGGAAUGGGCCUGCCCAAAGCUUCCUGACAUGGCAAUCUCAUGCCACCUUGCAUCCAGCCAAGGAAAUACUGGACACUACAGAGGCCUGUAUGCUCAGUCAACCUGGCACCAUCGGGUCCCCCAGAGACUCAUAGAGUAUCCAGGGCAGUGGGUAUGCCCCUCUCCCUUACCCAUCCCACUCUGUUCCAGGCACGCCAUCCCUCCUUGUUCCUGACUCUUGACUACGUCCUUGUUUAUCCUCUCACCUCUGGUUCGGUCUCCCAACUCAUCAUUUCUCUCUCUCACUCCCUCUCUCACUCACCUUCUCGCUCUCACUCUCUCGCUCUCCUCAGAUUUACCAGGCUGGCUAUUUCUACUUCUGACACUUUGCCCUAGUUGGGGCCUAGAGACCCAGCCCCCAGCCCCAGCUCCUACCCACUGGCCAGUGCCCAGAAGGAUCAUGGCAGGACCCAGACACACAUGUUCACGUGGCCAGUAGAUCCCAGUUACAGGCAGUAGAACGUGGGUGAGUAGCAACAGUGUACGGCUCCAUGACAAGCACAGGUAGCCUAGCUGUGUAGCAAUGGGUCACUCUUCCAUAGCAACCAAACAAAAUUACAUAGCAAUGGAUGAACUCAAGCGACCAUGAGGCACAGUGACAAGCAAUCGAACGUGGCCGCGGAGCAGUGGAGUGUCGUUGCAUAACAAUAGACCCAGCCGUAGAAGCAUGUCACACAGCCCUGCACCGCAGGAGGGUGCAAUCACGGGAAUGAGUACGGAGCACAGUGUGGAAGACGUGGGCAGACAUACAGAGUAGUAGCACUGGGACACAACUGAGUAGCAAUGGCACGGUCACAGUGUGUGUGGCUCCUGGACAUGCGGCCAGGGAGCGGUGGCCGGCAGCAGGUCCCAGGGCUGGAGCAGCAGGCGCCAGCGACAUGGCAGUGGUUGAGUUGUAGUCAAAUGAAGAACCGCCUCCCUCACGCUGGGCCGUUGUCUCCGGCUGAGCCUCUUGGCCUCCCCUGAUUUCAGGAGUGUGUUUGUCUAUAUCCAGUCUCAUCAUGCAUUCCCCGGAGCCCAAAAAACAAUUUUAUCUCUGAUUCCCUUCAGAUCCGACUUCAGCUUAAUAGGAAAUUGAACAUUUUCUGGAGAGAAAAGCGCUCUGGGAAUAGAUGAGAGUGGAGAAGAGGAGGUCUAUGCCUCUCUGUGCAAUGCUGCCUGCUGCCCCUGGCCCUGCCUGUCCCAUCCCCAUGGCUCACUAAGCCCACUGUGGCUCCCUGUCCCUGGAUGUGCCCUUGAUCUACCUCAUUCCCAGACUGCAACCCAACCAUUUCUUCUCACCUUGGAACACUUCGUUUUGAUGCAGGCCUUUCAAGUUCCAUUUGGUCAACAUGGUACAAAACUCUGGUCCUGGGUGGGCCCAUCAAGGUCAAGGUCCCAUGGGUAUGGUCUUGGGUCAAGUGUAGGGCCUCAGGCAGAGGUAGAGGAAGCCUUAUCUCCCGUCUGAGUAGCUCAGGAAGCCAUUGGGAAGAGGUGAGCCUUUAAGUGAGUGUGAAGAGUGAGGUGUUAAGGUUCAUCCUGAACAUGGCAACUCCCCAAAUAGUCAACAGCCUGCAAGCAUCUGCCCUCCACUCUCUGGGCACCCUGAGCCCAUCUCACACGGAGCCAGGCCAUGCCUCCUGACGCCAGGAGGGGAGCAGGUAAGGCGAGGGGGCUCUAUGCCACCUCUAGAUGGACCGACUUCCUCCACAAAGGGCUUCUGAAACACCUGCCAUGUGCCUGGACUCCCCAUUCCUCCAGCCUGUCAGAAAACCAGAACUCUCCACCCUGCCAUGUGCCCAGCCCUGUGUCCAGCUGGGGCAGGGACAUGGGGACAAAGAGGCCAAGGACCUCAGCUCUGAGAAUUCCCCAGUGGACAGGAGCAAGCCAUACCCGGGGAGACGAUUAGUGGCACAGAGUAGGCACACAGUAAAUAUUUGGUGGGGGAUGAACAGGCAAAGGAGGGGCAUGGUUGGGACAAUGUAGCUUUUUAACUGCCACACUUACCCAGCACUCCUGGACACACCUAGUGAGCCCUUAGUGAAUGAGAGAGAGCUGGGGAGGUGGUGGAUAGGGGGAGAGGCAGGCAAGGAAGUCUUCCUGGAGGAGGCAGACUAUGCUUUGGAUAAAGAAAGGCAGAUGUGCUCAUUUACUAUGGAAGAAUUGUGUAUUCAGUGUUGUUUCCAGCACAGAAAUUCAAGCACAGGGUUGCUUCCCUCCUCUUCCUGUCUCUCUCCCUGUCUCUCCUGCUCUCUCUCGCUCUCUCUCUUUUUCUCCCUCCCCCCUCUCUCUCUCCACCUCUCUCUCCUUCUCUCUCUCUCUGCCUCCUCUGUUUCCCUCCCUCCUUCUGCCUUGCUCAGAGGAGAUUUGUGGCAGACCAGAGGGCCCUCAUACCAGGAGAUGAAUAAUUGACAAGGGUUGUUAAAAGAUUCAGUGGAGUUUUUCCAACCUCCUUACACUGGAAUAACUCAUUUCUUUCAUUCUGUUUUUGAAAGCCUUUCCCCCUCCCUCCACCUGUCUCCUCCACAUCCCCGCCCCCUCUGAGCAUACCGCUUUUGUUUCUCUUCCUUUCUUGAGUCUGCUGGACCCUAGAAUGAUUCGGCCUUAAUCCCUCGGUUUCUCUAAAUCCCCUUCCCCAGCUGUCCCCACCCCACUUGCCGUGCUCCGGAGGUGUAGGUUGACUUCAGCAGAGACAGCCCCAGAUCAUGAGUGCAGAGAGGAAGGAGGACCAGGGAAGCUGUGGCCUCUCCCAAGUCCCAGUGUGCCAGAGGUGGGCUCGGUCCUCAGAAAGGCAAGCCUCCCAGCACAGGGACCCCUUUCCUCGCAGGCAGGCGGAGGGGUGCUCUGGGGACGCUGGGUGACCAUGUGCCUUGGUUUCUCCAUCUUAGCAUGCUGCUUACCCUACCCUACCUGCCUCUCAGGAUCAGAUGGGAGAGGUGAGGCCCCCCAGAAAGGGCGGCUGGCCGUGUAGCAGAGACACCCUGAGCCUAGUCCUUUCUGUCCGGCUGGCAUGGCCCUGGGGUGACCACCCAUCCCUGUCUGUCCAGGACUGACGGGUUUCCAGACUAUGAGGUGUUCAGUGCUUAAACCAAGACAGUCCUAGGCAAACCUGGAUGGGGGCCACCCUACAUGGCACAGAAACCUCCCCUGUCCCAGGUCUGCCCCACUGGAGGUUGCCACACUCUCUACCCUGUCAGCCUCCCUCAUCCACAGGGCAUACUCCCCCUGCCCAGUCUGGCCCAGCUCCGUGCUGUCCAUGCACUCAUAGUGCUCCCACUGCUCCUGCAAGUGACCUUGACCUUCCUUCCCUUCUCUGGGCCCCAGUUCCUGCCUCUGACAGCACAGGCGGUUGGAGCAGAUGUUCCUGAGUGCCCUGAGGCUCCUGCACUGUGGCUGCAGCCUUGGUCCUGCCCCCAGACCCACACCCAGGAUGGGGUCUGCAGCCUGGUGAGGCCGACAGCAGAGCAGUCAGACCCGGCCUCCACUCCUCAGCACCACCUGGUGGCAGGUGAUUAACUCUGAGCAGGAGUCUUUUGAGGCUGCCAGCAGCAGUCACCAGGGAAGGGACUUGGAGCACCCCUGCACACUACCCACUUUGGUGGCAACAAGCAGCAGGAACGUCAGCCUAGGGUGGUGACAUUGCAAAGCCCCGGGAGCCUGGGAUUGGCCCCCAGGAGCAGGAAUAAGCAGCCCCCCCAGGGCCACUAGUUCAGGCACCAAGCCCAGCCUGGGAGCAGGGUCACCCAGGGUCUGGGAGUACGAGAGGGCCCAGGCCCCAGGUCCUUUGGAACCAAGAGAGGCUGAGGAACUACAAGAGAAACAGGGAGUGAGACAGAGACAGAGAGCAGAGCCAACCAGGGCCCACCCAACGGCCUCCAAACAGAUGCCCUUGACUCAGUGUCCCCUUCAGGCCAUCCCACACCAGCCACAAGACACGUUCCCAAAACACUGGCCACCCCAGCCUUCCUGCUGUGUCCCCUCAGUCUCCGUAGCCCCUGACUCUACUGCCCAGCGUGAUUGCCCCAUUUGCUGGGUUUGUGCUCUCUCCCAGUCACCUCUCCAAGCAUCCCUGUUCUGUGCAGCACACACUCACGAGCUCCCGCCCAGGCCCAGCUCCCCGAAGGCAGGAAGGCUUCUCAGGGCCCCAGCCCUCCUCAGCUCCUCCCCUGCACUCCUGCAGGCCCCGAGCUGGGAGCACCGCCUGCUGACAGGGGCUGGAGGGGGUCCUACAAUUAAAUACUUAAGACAAGGCAACCGACCUAAGCCAUGGCUGAGAACACUCGCCAGCUCUUUUCCCUUUCCUGUCCCUCCCCCAACUCUGACCUUUUUCUCUCCAAUUCCUAAACACAAUCACACACAGUGCUUACCAAGCAUUUUAGCGAGGAAGGGAGGGAGGGAGAGGAGAAGGGUAGAAAGGAAGAAAUAAGGAUCACAUCCCACAUGUGUCUGUUACUUCCCUCUGCAGACCCCUCCUCUCACCUGCAUAGCUCUUGCAGGUUUGUGUUCCAUCUCCACCACUCCGAAGCUGUGUGACCUUGGAUAAAUCACUCCACCUCUCUGCUCCUGUCUCCUCAUUGUUAAGUAGAGGGAACACUGUCACCCUGUCCACCUCUUGAGACUAUGGGGAGGAUUAACAAGAGAAUGAGGGGCAAUGUGUUGGAAACUGUAAAGGGCUGUCCACUUUGCAGGAGACUUAAUAGUCACUGUGUUCCUGGGGCCCUGCGAUCAAGGCGGAGAAUAAAAAGGAAGCAAAAAUCCCCCAGGCCUCUCCCUCUGACCCUUUCUCCGGCAGGGCUGUUCCCAGACCCCUGACCCACUUCUCCUCCCUCCUUCCCCCAUCCCUCCGAGUCUCAGCGGGCCAUUCUCCUCCUCCAUCCAUCACCUGAGACUAAAGAGAUUAAUAAACGAGACUCAUAACUCAGCUGCUGGGAUGCAGCAGAU
rnacentral:lncRNA from 1 species